rnacentral:rRNA from 1 species
GAUGAACGCUGGCGGCGUGCCUAAUACAUGCAAGUCGAGCGAACGGACGAGAAGCUUGCUUCUCUGAUGUUAGCGGCGGACGGGUGAGUAACACGUGGAUAACCUACCUAUAAGUCUGGGAUAACUUCGGGAAACCGGAGCUAAUCCCGGAUAAUAUUUUGAACCGCAUGGUUCAAAAGUGAAAGACGGUCUUGCUGUCACUUAUAGAUGGUUCCGCGCUGCAUUAGCGAGUUGGUAAGGUAACGGCUUACCAAGGCAACGAUGCAUAGCCAACCUGAGAGGGUGAUCGGCCACACUGGAGCUGAGACGCGGUCCAGACUCCUACGGGAGGCAGCAGUAGGGAAUCUUCCGCACUGGGCGAAAGCCUGACGGAGCAACGCCGCGUGAGUGAUGAAGGUCUUCGGAUCGUAAAACUCUGUUAUUAGGGAAGAACAUAUGUGUAAGUAACGGUGCACAUCUUGACGGUACCUAAUCAGAAAGCCACGGCUAACUACGU